rnacentral:rRNA from 1 species
GAUGAACGCUGGCGGCGUGCCUAACACAUGCAAGUCGAGCGAACAGACGAGGAGCUUGCUCCUCUGACGUUAGCGGCGGACGGGUGAGUAACACGUGGAUAACCUACUUAUAAGACUGGGAUAACUUCGGGAAACCGGAGCUAAUACCGGAUAAUAUAUUGAACCGCAUGGUUCAAUAGUGAAAGACGGUUUUGCUGUCACUUAUAGAUGGAUCCGCGCCGCAUUAGCUAGUUGGUAAGGUAACGGCUUACCAAGGCAACGAUGCGUAGCCGACCUGAGAGGGUGAUCGGCCACACUGGAACUGAGACACGGUCCAGACUCCUACGGGAGGCAGCAGUAGGGAAUAUUCCGCAAUGGGCGAAAGCCUGACGGAGCAAGGCCGCGUGAGUGAUGAAGGUCUUCGGAUCGUAAAGCUCUGUUAUUAGGGAAGAACAGAUGUGUAAGUAACUAUGCACGUCUUGACGGUACCUAAUCAGAAAGCAACGGCUAACUACGUG